GCUUGCAGUGAGCCGAGAUUGCGUCACCGCACUCCAGCCUGGGCGACAGAGCGAGACUCCGUCUCAAAAAAAAUGACUGGACAAAAAACACUCUGAUGCAAACAGGCAAGAAACCCAGCAAGGCCUAUCUGGAUUCUCCUUGGCCUGUCUGCAGCAUUCAUUCCUUCUGGGUAUGGAACAGGACCCUCUGGAAUGGGGGCUGUGGCCUACAACAGUUAAACAAGUGAACUAAAGGGCUCCCAAAAUCUCUCCUGCAGCAUUUUCCUUGAGAAGGAGGAAGGUUUGCAUCUCUGUGAGAAGAAACAUCAGAAGCAGUUGAAAGACCAGGAUGUGGGUCCUCUGGGGCUGAGGAGGCAUUCUGAAUCAACUGUGUGUUCUACACCUGUGUUUUAACUGUGACCUGUCACAUGAGGACAAGUGUGGAAUUUCCCACUUUUGUGCCAUAAAUCUCUCUCUGGGAACAGUGUGGAAGAUGGAUUGAAAUGGUGUAAAAUUGAAGAUGUGGACUCCGGUUGGGAGACUACACCCUAGAUAAGAUGAAGAGAACUUGAAGCAAGACAAUAGCAAUGGGAAUAUAAAGGAGAGGAGACAUUUGAGUGAAAUUAAGGAAGCACAAUCUGCAGACUGUUUUCUUUUUUUUAAGAGUCAGGGUCUCCCUAUUUUGCCCAGGCUGGUCUCAAAGUCCUAGGCUCAAGCGACCCACCCACCUCAGCCUUCCAAAAUGCUGGAAUUACAGGGGUGAACUGCCUCACCAUGCCUCAGUCUGCAGAAUUUGAUGACUGAAUGUAUUUGGAGAGAGUCUGUGGCUUGGAUGACUGGGCUCCCAACAGAUUGGAUGAUGCCCACACACAUUGAGGCGGCCAACCUGCUUUACUGAAUUCACCAAUUCAAAUGCUAACCUCAUCUGGAAACACCCUCGCAGACACACUCAGACACAACGUUUAAUCUGGGUGCCCCUUGGCCAGUCAUGUUGACACAUAGAAUUAACCAUCACAGGAGUUACAUCUGGUGUGAAAACCACAAAGAAAUCAGGAAGGAUGAAAACUGUGGUGGACAUUUUCUCUUUUGACCACACUACCUCUUUUUUCCCCCCUUCUUUUGGAGAGAGAGAAUUUCCACUUAACUCUUCCCCCAAUGUGUGCACCUGUGCUAAGACUCUCAGGGCAUUCUGCACUGCUCACUCCAAGCCACCAGGAGCUGUGAUUGGUUGAUUGAUUUUGAGGCGGAGUUUCACUCUUGUUGCCCAGGCUGAAGUGCAGUGGCACAACCUCUGCUCACUGCAACCGCUGCC
rnacentral:lncRNA from 1 species